AGAGUUAAAUAGUACGUGAAAUUGUUGAAAGGGAAACGAUUGAAGCCAGUCGUACCGACGGGAAAUCAACCUUUUGAGCGGGGAUCGUAAGUGACGGGGAGCCUCGCGCCCUCGCUGCUUACGAUCCCCUGCUUUUGGGGCGUACUUUUCCGUAUGUAGGUCAGCAUCGAUUUCGACCGCCAUAAAAUGGCCGGAGAAAUGUAGCUUCGAUCUUGUAUUGGAGUGUUAUAGCCUCUGGUAGAUGUGGUGGUUGGGAUCGAGGAUUGCAACGAAUACCCUUUGGGCUAUCCGUCUGACCUCUGAAAGUCGCUCGGGCGCCGAAAGCUUGCUUACGGUCGUUCUAGUUGGCGGUCAAAAGGUUAGAACGCGAUUAAAUUCGUUAAGGAUGUUGGCGUAAUGGCUUUAAACGACC
rnacentral:rRNA from 1 species